rnacentral:rRNA from 1 species
CCUACGGGUGGCAGCAGUGAGGAAUAUUGGUCAAUGGACGAGAGUCUGAACCAGCCAAGUAGCGUGAAGGAUGACUGCCCUAUGGGUUGUAAACUUCUUUUAUAUGGGAAUAAAACGUUCCACGUGUGGGAUUUUGUAUGUCCCAUAUGAAUAAGGAUCGGCUAACUCCGUGCCAGCAGCCGCGGUAAUACGGAGGAUCCGAGCGUUAUACGGAUUUAUUGGGUUUAAAGGGAGCGUAGGUGGAUUGUUAAGUCAGUUGUGAAAGUUUGCGGCUCAACCGUAAAAUUGCAGUUGAAACUGGCAGUCUUGAGUACAGUAGAGGUGGGCGGAAUUCGUGGUGUAGCGGUGAAAUGCUUAGAUAUCACGAAGAACUCCGAUUGCGAAGGCAGUUCACUGGACUGCAACUGACACUGAGGCUCGAAAGUGUGGGUAUCAAACAGGAUUAGAUACCCCUGUAGUC